rnacentral:rRNA from 1 species
GACGAACGCUGGCGGCGUGCUUAACACAUGCAAGUCGAGCGGUAAGGCCCUUUCGGGGGUACGACGAGCGGCGAACGGGUGAGUAACACGUGGGUGACCUGCCCUCAGCUCUGGGAUAAGCCUGGGAAACUGGGUCUAAUACCGGAUAUGACUCCAUGACGCAUGUUGUGGGGUGGAAAGCCUUGUGCGGCUGAGGAUGGGCCCGCGGCCUAUCAGCUUGUU